CAGGUGCUGCAUGGCUGUCGUCAGCUCGUGUCGUGAGAUGUCCGGUUAAGUCCGCCAACGAGCGCAACCCUCACUGUGUGUUAUACGUGUCACACGGGACUGCCGGUUUUAAGCCGGAGGAAGGCGGGGAUGACGUCAAGUCAGCAUGGCCUUUAUAUCCUGGGCUACACACACGCUACAAUGGUCUGUACAAUAGGUUGCCAAGCCGCGAGGCGGAGCCAAUCCUUAAAGCAGGCCUCAGUUCAGAUUGUAGGCUGCAACUCGCCUGCAUGAAGAUGGAGUUGCUAGUAACCGCAGGUCAGCAAUACUGCGGUGAAUACGUUCCCGGGUCUU
rnacentral:rRNA from 1 species